GCGGACGAACUUCGCCCACGCCCCCCACCAAGGCUAUAGCCCAUCCGUUUUUUGGCCAUUUUUCCGCUGGGGGGUCUUGGGACCCCGACCUUCGGGGGCUGAUUUUUGGGCGCGGCUGUGCCCGUGGCCUAUUUUUGGCACACGGAGGUAGCCCACCAAGUCUGGUCCCAUUCCGUGUCCCGCGGACGAACUUCGCCCACGUCCCCCACCAAGGCUAUAGCCCACCCGUUUUUUGGCCAUUUUUCCGCUGGGGGAUCUUGGGACCCCGAACUUCGUGGGCUGUUUUUUGGGCGUGGCUGUGCCCAUGGCCUAUUUUUGGCACACGGAGGCCUACCGCCAAGUCUGGUGCCAUUCCGAGUCCCGUGGACGAACUUCGCCCACGCCACCCACCAAGGCUAUAGCCCACCCGUUUUUUGGCCAUUUUUCCGCUGGGGGGUCUUGGGACCCCAAACUUCGGGGGCUGUUUUUUGGGUGUGGCUGUGCCCAUGGCCUAUUUUUGGCACACGGAGGCCUACCGCCAAGUCUGGUGCCAUUCCGAGUCCCGCGGACGAACUUCGCCCACGCCCCCCACCAAGGCUAUAGCCCACCCGUUUUUUGGCCAUUUUUCCGCUGGGGGGUCUUGGGACCCCGACCUUCGGGGGCUGUUUUUUGGGCGCGGCUGUGCCCGUGGCCUAUUUUUGGCACACGGAGGCCGCCCGCCAAGUCUGGUGCCAUUCCGAGUCCCGCGGACGAACUUCGCCCACGCCCCCCACCAAGGCUAUAGCCCACCCGUUUUUUGGCCAUUUUUCCGCUGGGGGGUCUUGGGACCCCGACCUUCGGGGGCUGGUUUUUGGGCGCGGCUGUGCCCGUGGCCUAUUUUUGGCACACGGAGGACGCCCGCCAAGUCUGGUCCCAUUCCGAGUCCCGCGGACGAACAUCGCCCACGCCCCCAACCAAGGCUAAAGCCCACCCGUUUUUUGGCCAUUUUUCCGCUGGGGGGUCUUGGGACCCCGACCUUCGGGGGCUGGUUUUUGGGCGCGGCUGUGCCCGUGGCCUAUUUUGGGCACACGGAGGCCGCCCGCCAAGUCUGGUGCCAUUCCGAGUCCCGCGGACGAACUUCGCCCCGCCCCCCACCAAGGCUAUAGCCCACCCGUUUUUUGGCCAUUUUUCCGCUGGGGGGUCUUGGGACCCCGACCUUCGGGGGCUGAUUUUUGGGCGCGGCUGUGCCCGUGGCCUAUUUUUGGCACACGGAGGCAGCCCGCCAAGUCUGGUCCCAUUCCGUGUCCCGCGGACGAACUACGCCCACGCCCCCCACCAAGGCUAUAGCCCACCCGUUUUUUGGCCAUUUUUCCGCUGGGGGAUCUUGGGACCCCGAACUUCUGGGGCUGUUUUUUGGGCGUGGCUGUGCCCAUGGCCUAUUUUUGGCACACGGAGGCCUACCGCCAAGUCUGGUGCCAUUCCGAGUCCCGUGGACGAACUUCGCCCACGCCACCCACCAAGGCAAUAGCCCACCCGUUUUUUGGCCAUUUUUCCGCUGGGGGGUCUUGGGACCCCGAACUUCGGGGGCUGUUUUUUGGGCGCGGCUGUGCCCGUGGCCUAUUUUUGGCACACGGAGGACGCCCGUCAAGUCUGGUGCUAUUCCGAGUCCCGCGGACGAACUUCGCCCACGCCCCCCACCAAGGCUAUAGCCCACCCGUUUUUUGGCCAUUUUUCCGCUGGGGGGUCUUGGGACCCCGACCUUCGGGGGCUGAUUUUUGGGCGCGGCCGUGCCCGUGGCCUAUUUUUGGCACACGGAGGCAGCCCGCCAAGUCUGGUCCCAUUCCGUGUCCCGCGGACGAACUUCGCCCACGUCCCCCACCAAGGCUAUAGCCCACCCGUUUUUUGGCCAUUUUUCCGCUGGGGGAUCUUGGGACCCCGAACUUUGGGGGCUGUUUUUUGGGCGUGGCUGUGCCCAUGGCCUAUUUUUGGCACACGGAGGCCUACCGCCAAGUCUGGUGCCAUUCCGAGUCCCGUGGACGAACUUCGCCCACGCCACCCACCAAGGCUAUAGCCCACCCGUUUUUUGGCCAUUUUUCCGCUGGGGGGCCUUGGGACCCGAAUUUCGGGGGCUGUUUUUUGGGUGUGGCUGUGCCCAUGGCCUAUUUUUCGCAAACGGAGGCCUACCGCCAAGUCUGGUGCCAUUCCGAGUCCCGCGGACGAACUUCGCCCACGCCCCCCACCAAGGCUAUAGCCCACCCGUUUUUUGGCCAUUUUUCCGCUGGGGGGUUUUGGGACCCCGACCUUCGGGGGCUGUUUUUUGGGCGCGACUGUGGCCGUGGCCUAUUUUUGGCACACGGAGGCCGCCCGCCAAGUCUGGUGCCAUUCCGAGUCCCGCGGACAAACUUCGCCCACGCCCCCCACCAAGGCUAUAGCCCACCCGUUUUUUGGCCAUUUUUCCGCUGGGGGGUCUUGGGACCCCGACCUUCGGGGGCUGGUUUUUGGGCGCGGCUGUGCCCGUGGCCUAUUUUUGGCACACGGAGGACGCCCGCCAAGUCUGGUCCCAUUCCGAGUCCCGUGGACGAACAUCGCCCACGCCCCCCACCAAGGCUAAAGCCCACCCGUUUUUUGGCCAUUUUUCCGCUGGGGGGUCUUGGGACCCCGACCUUCGGGGGCUGGUUUUUGGGCGCGGAUGUGCCCGUGGCCUAUUUUGGGCACACGGAGGCCGCCCGCCAAGUCUGGUGCUAUUCCGAGUCCCGCGGACGAACUUCGCCCACGCCACCCACCACGGCUAUAGCCCACCCGUUUUUUGGCCAUUUUUCCGCUGGGGGGUCUUGGGACCCCGACCUUCGGGGGCUGAUUUUUGGGCGCGGCUGUGCCCGUGGCCUAUUUUUGGCACACGGAGGCAGCCCGCCAAGUCUGGUCCCAUACCGUGUCCCGCGGACGAACUUCGCCCACGCCCCCCACCAAGGCUAUAGCCCACCCGUUUUUUGGCCAUUUUUCCGCUGGGGGGUCUUGGGACCCCGAACUUCGGGGGCUGUUUUUUGGGCGCGGCUGUGCCCGUGUCCUAUUUUUGCACACGGAGGCCGCCCGCCAAGUCUGGUGCCAUUCCGAGUCCUGCGCACGAACUUCGCCCACGCCCCCGACCAAGGCUAUAGCCCACCCGUUUUUUGGCCAUUUUUCCGCUGGUGGGUCUUAGGACCCCGAACUUCGGGGGCUGUUUUUUGGACGCGGCUGUGCCCGUGGCCUAUUUUUGGCACACGGAGGCCUACCGCCAAGUCUGGUACCAUUCCGAGUCCCGCGGACGAACUUCGCCCACGCCCCCCACCAAGGCUAUAGCCCACCCGUUUUUUUGGCCAUUUUUCCGCUGGGGGGUCUUGGGACCCCGACCUUCGGGGGCUGUUUUUUGGGCGCGGCUGUGCCCGUGGCCUAUUUUUGGUACACGGAGGCCUACCGCCAAGUCUGGUCCCAUUCCGAGUCCCGCGGACGAACUUCGCCCACGCCCCCCACAAAGGCUAUAGCCCACCCGUUUUUUGGCCAUUUUUCCGCUGGGGGGUCUUGGGACCCCGACCUUCGGGGGCUGUUUUUUGGGUGCGGCUGUGCCCGUGGCCUAUUUUUGGCACACGAAGGCCGCCUGCCAAGUCUGGUGCCAUUCCGAGUCCCGCGGACGAACUUCUCCCACGCCCCCCACCAAGGCUAUAGCCCACCCGUUUUUUGGCCAUUUUUCCGCUGGGGGGUCUUGGGACCCCGACCUUCGGGGGCUGUUUUUUGGGUGCGGCUGUGCCCGUGGCCUAUUUUUGGCACACGAAGGCCGCCCGCCAAGUCUGGUGCCAUUCCGAGUCCCGCGGACGAAUUUCGCCCACGCACCCCACCAAGGCUAUAGCCCACCCGUUUUUUGGCCAUUUUUCUGCUGGGGGGUCUUGGGACCCCGACCUUCGGGGGCUGUUUUUUGGGCGCGGCUGUGCCCGUGGCCUAUUUUUGGCACACGGAGGCCUACCGCCAAGUCUGGUGCCAUUCCGAGUCCCGCGGACGAACUUCGCCCAUGCCCCCCACCAAGGCUAUAGCCCACCCGUUUUUUGGCCAUUUUUCCGCUGGGGGGUCUCGGGACCACGACCUUCGGGGGCUUUUUUUUGGGCGCGGAUGUGCCCGUGGCCUAUUUUUGGCACACGGAGGCCGCCCGCCAAGUCUGGUGCCAUUCCGAGUCCCGCGGACGAACUUCGCCCACGCCCCCCACCAAGGCUAUAGCCCACCCGUUUUUUGGCCAUUUUUCCGCUGGGGGGUCUUGGGACCCCGACCUUCGCGGGCUGUUUUUUGGGCGCGGCUGUGCCCGUGGCCUAUUUUUGGCACACGGAGCCUACCGCCAAGUCUGGUGCCAUUCCGAGUCCCGCGGACGAACUUCGCCCACGCCCCCCACCAAGGAUAUAGCCCACCCGUUUUUUGGCCAUUUUUCCGCUGGGGGGUCUUGGGACCACGACCUUCGGGGGCUGUUUUUUGGGUGCGGCUGUGCCCGUGGCCUAUUUUUGGCACACGAAGGCCGCCCGCCAAGUCUGGUGCCAUUCCGAGUCCCGCGGACGAACUUCACCCACGCCCCCCACCAAGGCUAUAGCCCACCAGUUUUUUGGCCAUUUUUCCGCUGGGGGGUCUUGGGACCCCGACCUUCGGGGAU
rnacentral:lncRNA from 1 species